ACGAACGCUGGCGGCGUGCCUAAUACAUGCAAGUCGAACGGUCUUUCUAUGGAAGCUUGCUUCCACUGAGAAGAUAGUGGCGAACGGGUGAGUAACACGUGGGUAACCUGCCCAUAAGAGGGGGAUAACAUCCGGAAACGGGUGCUAAUACCGCAUAGUUUUCUUGAUCGCAUGAUCGGGAAAGGAAAGACGGCCUUUGUGCUGUCGCUUAUGGAUGGACCCGCGGCGUAUUAGUUAGUUGGUGAGGUAACGGCUCACCAAGACGAUGAUACGUAGCCGACCUGAGAGGGUGAUCGGCCACAUUGGGACUGAGACACGGCCCAAACUCCUACGGGAGGCAGCAGUAGGGAAUCUUCCGCAAUGGACGAAAGUCUGACGGAGCAACGCCGCGUGAGUGAAGAAAGGUUUUCGGAUCGUAAAACUCUGUUGUCAGAGAAGAACAAGUUGGAGAGUAACUGCUCCAGCCUUGACGGUAUCUGACCAGAAAGCCACGGCUAACUACGUGCCAGCAGCGGC
rnacentral:rRNA from 1 species